GGAAGUUUAGCUCAGUUGGGAGAGCAUCUGCCCUACAAGCAGAGGGUCAAAGGUUCGAGCCCUUUAACUUCCACCA
rnacentral:tRNA from 1 species